CGGCCACUUUCUGCGCCUGCGUGCAUUUCAAGUUCUGGCGUGACAUCCGGGCACUACAUGACUGGAGCGUUUGGCUCGCGGAGAUGAACUUGGCGGUCUUCCUGUGCACGCGCAUAAAACCGUCCGCCUACUCAGAUGUGGCUGAGGGAGUGGACUGCUGCUGGUCAUCUCUAUCAGAGCUAUUCUACUCUUCAUACGUGAAGGAGUUUGGGUAUAAAAAGAACAAAAGGCAACAUUUGAAGAUAUCUCAGAAACCAUUCAAAAGGAAAAACCUUGAUGAUUAGUCAGUAAUUUAGGAGGGAAAAAGUGAAAGGAAUGUUGACGGACACCACUCUCCUCCCCUGAUGACAACUCUUGAUGCAUCCCUACUGUGACAAGGUUAGUCCCUCUCCAGAUUUUCCAUGUCUAAACUGUGGUGAAACCAUACUCCUUAAAAAACAUAUCUUGAAGAUUCCAGGAAAAGGAAAUUGAAAACAGAGAAUAACUUCCAACAGCCAAGAGAAGUAGAUCUUUAGAGUUAACAAGUCCAAACCCAAAAUAUGAAACCCUGCCUAAUUCCCAGCAGUCCAUCCCGUGGCAGGGAGGCAGCUCAAAAGGAAACAGGUUAACUCCAGGUAUCUCCUUAUCUGGGAGUUCAGGUUCCUUGCCCCCCAGCUUAAAGAAAGAAGUCCUCCAAAUUCUCUCAAGCCUAAGUUGGGCUUUAUUUUCCUGCCUGGAAUUUUCCUCUUCCCAGAUGUGGGGUGGUAGGAAUCCUGUAGUUUAGCCACUCAACAAUUGAUCUGGGCUUCAUAGCUUGAACAAAAUAAUCACAAUCGAAGGCAGUAUAUUUUCCAAAGUCUGGCUUGCGCAGUCUUAAAGUUACCUCAUUGUAAGAAAAAACUGCUUUAGAGGGAAACUAUGCAUUGUCUAGCCCAGAGGACACCCACCCCUCUGAGUUAUCUGAUUCUAAAGGGGCUAUUUUACAAUGCUGUAAAUUAUUGAUGACUGAUAU
rnacentral:lncRNA from 10 species